CCCUUACCCGGGUCUGACCUCCCUUUGAACUUUUUAAAAAUAGAAGUGUUCUUCUCGGAGACAAAGUGACAGGGUGGACCAUGGUCGUCGUCAGCUCGUGUCGUGAGAUGUUGGGUUAAGUCCCGCAACGAGCGCAACCCUUAUUGUUAGUUGCCAGCAUUCAGAUGGGCACUCUAGCGAGACUGCCGGUGACAAACCGGAGGAAGGCGGGGACGACGUCAGAUCAUCAUGCCCCUUAUGACCUGGGCUACACACGUGCUACAAUGGCGUAUACAACGAGUUGCCAACCCGCGAGGGUGAGCUAAUCUCUUAAAGUACGUCUCAGUUCGGAUUGUAGUCUGCAACUCGACUACAUGAAGUCGGAAUCGCUAGUAAUCGCGGAUCAGCACGCCGCGGUGAAUACGUUCCCGGGUCUUGUACACACCGCCU
rnacentral:rRNA from 1 species